rnacentral:rRNA from 1 species
GUGGGGAAUCUUGCGCAAUGGGCGAAAGCCUGACGCAGCCAUGCCGCGUGAAUGAUGAAGGUCUUAGGAUUGUAAAAUUCUUUCACCGGGGACGAUAAUGACGGUACCCGGAGAAGAAGCCCCGGCUAACUUCGUGCCAGCAGCCGCGGUAAUACGAAGGGGGCUAGCGUUGCUCGGAAUUACUGGGCGUAAAGGGAGCGUAGGCGGACAUUUAAGUCAGGGGUGAAAUCCCGAGGCUCAACCUCGGAACUGCCUUUGAUACUGGGUGUCUUGAGUGUGAGAGAGGUGAGUGGAACUCCGAGUGUAGAGGUGAAAUUCGUAGAUAUUCGGAAGAACACCAGUGGCGAAGGCGACUCACUGGCUCAUUACUGACGCUGAGGCUCGAAAGCGUGGGGAGCAAACAGGAUUAGAAACCCCAGUAGUCC